AUGUGGUAUAUGAGUGUAUAUGGUAUGUUUGGUAUAUGUGUAUGUAUUGUGUGUGGUGUAUGUGUGUGUGUGGUAUAUUGUGGUGGAGGGGUGUGUAUAUGUGUGGUGUAUUUGUGUAUAUAGUGUAAGUGUGUAUGAGGUGUGUGAGGUAUGGUGUGUGUGUGUAUGUGUGUUUGAGGUAUAUGUGUGUAUUUGGUAUAAGUGUAGGUGUGGUGGUGGGGUAUGAGUGUGUGUGGUAUUUGGGAUGUGUUUGGGGGGGACAGUGUUUGUGUUGUCUAGGAAUUCAAUGAGGUCUGAGGUAACAACUUAUCAAGAGAUAGAACUUUGGAAUUGAGACCUAACCAUCUACAGUCUGCCCCAGAAGGAGUGCUAAUCAGAUAUGUCACAGGCAAUCUCAACCUCAGUGUCAUAUAUGGGUUUUUUCCUCUAGAAUAUAUAACUCCUAUAUUUCCAAGAUUAAAAAAAAUCAAGACUAAAUUUCAUUGGCAACAGUUAUAAUUUCUUUCCAUCAGCUAAGUAAAAAGGCAAGUAUUCAGGACUAGCUGGAUUCCCUACCCUGAACAAUUUACUUAUUUAAUCUACAAAUAUGAACAAAUGUGUCAGGCACUGUAGUGGGCUCUAGAACUAACCUCAAGCUAUCACACUGCCCUGCUAGUGCUUUGAGGAUAGAAGAGAGGCAGCUCAUGGGACAGCUGUGUUGUUAUGAACUUCCCUUUUUUCUCCUCCUGGGUAUGUGUUUGGUGUGUGCACUUGUGUGUGUCUUCACGUUUACAUGUGUAUUGGCACACGAAGUGAGCAUGCACAUGUGUGUUUGGAGGCCUGAGGCUGAUGUCUAGAGUCCUUCUAAAUCACUCUCUAGCUUAGCAGUCUUUUGCUGAACCCAGAGUUUACUGACAUGGCUAGUCUGGCUAGCCACCUUCCAUCCGCGUUCCAGUGUCCUCAUCUUCUGAGCUCUGGAAUUACAUGUGGUCUGCCAUACCCAGGCAGCACUUAGCUUGGAUCCAAAUUCUCAUCCUUUUGCUUUCGUAGCAAGCACCUUAACUACGGAGCCAUCUCCCUAGCCUCAUUGUGGGCUUCCUUCCCUCCCCCACCCCCGUUUGUUUGUUCUUGGAAGCAAUCUUGAAUUGUGAAAGUCUUGGCCAAAGUGCAUUGUCUAUGGACCAUAGCUAAUAACAAUGUACUGUUACUACAAGAUUUUUGCCAAUAGGUAGAUUACAGCUGCUUUGUCAGACAGGUGAAAGAGCAGGUAACUAAGACAAUGGGUAUGUGUUCAUUUCCCCUACAGCAACCAUUUUAGGUCUCGUGAAGGGUGGGUGCAUAUCUUUUCUUGUUGUGUGGCAUGCCUUAAAUAUUCAGAGUAAAAUGGACUUGUGGGGGGAAGCAUUGUCUUUUAUGUAGAGCUUGUCUGUCACAGUAAUAGUAAUAAUAAUUAAUAAUUAAUAAUUAAUAAUAAUAAUAAUAAUAAUAAAGCUUGCCUAUCAAGUGUUCUUCAAGUUAUUUUCCCUGGAAGCUCACCCAAUUAGCCCUAUUUCCUCUGAAAUGCCUCCUAGUCCCCUCUUGAAGCAUCCCUGUGCAUCUCCCUGAACUUGUCAUAUGUUACUGAGCCUUUAUCUGGACCACAAGGGACAUUUCAAAGUUCCUACUUACAAAAGAUACCAGUAAAAAGUAAAACAGCAAACAGGACCAAGAAGAUGGCUUAACUGGUAAAGUGCUUACUCCAUAAGUGUGUAAGCAUGAAGACCUGAAUUUGGAUCUCUAGCACCCACAUAAAAAACCUGAGCAUGAAGAUAUACAUCUCUACCCAACACUGAGAGUCAGAAAAAAGCAGAUGAGUGAGUCUCACCAGCUGGACCGAUCAGCCAAUCAGUGAGCUCCCGAUUCUGAGAGAUCUUCACAAACUAGAGAAUAAAAGAUGCCUCACAUCAACCUCUGGCUUGCCCAUGUGCAACACACACACGCACACACACGAAUGCACCACAUACACUUGAAAUUUCCUAGUCCUCAUUAAUAGCAGCGGCCUUCAUGCAAAUGAAAGGGGUCCUGGAAGGUAUGACACACAAAUCGUCACUAAAAGGUAAGGUGAUUGAGACGAGGGAGCAAGAUGGCCUCAGAUACACUGAGGUGGCUUCACAGCCCCACCCUGAAAAAGCACUUAUGAUGUUUGACCAAUGCUACGAAGACCUAGACCACAAGUACUUACCUGCAUACAGGUGUUCAUGAAUACAUUAAGCCAAACAUAACGUGUUCUGAAUGCAUAUUUAUAAAGUUUAUGUAUUUUCUAACUCUUUUUAUAAGGAGCUCUACACGAAUCAUAUUAGCCUCUCCCUGGAGUGACAGCACAUUUGGGAGGAAAUGAACACAAAUGACUUGGGACCAUAAAUUCCGGGCUGCCCACAUGUGAUGGCAGCCGUCACAUGGGGCAGGGGCAGAUGGAGAAGGGGAAGGCAGCCAGCCAUUCUACUCCAGGCAGCUAAGGGUUUUCAGGACAAACAGGUUUCAGCAACACUCAGAGCUUUUGGCAAGUCGAAAACAUAAACAGUUUCCUUAUGAGCCCUGUUGGCGGGAGCCGUGUCCCUGAGCCUUGGCUCUCUGGCGCACACAUUCUUCCUUAUGUAGUAGAGAUCCUUUCUUGGAGGUCUUGCUGGGUGAGCACAAAUCCUGUUUUGGCCUUCUUCUCCCUGCUGUUGCUGGAACCCCUAGGGCAGCCAGUGUCACUUGCCUGAAGAGAUCUGAUAAUCCCUGAGGCCCCAUCCCCUUGGUGCUGUGGGGAGAACUUUUUAUUUCUCAUUUUACACAUGUUGCAAGGGCCAAAGAUACACGGGCUGGUGGGGGGGGGUAUUACCCCUUCCUGUUUCUAGCUCCCACAUGAGAUAGCCAUACCUGUGGAACUUAGAAAGAGUUGGUCUCAGAGUGUGUCCCUUUAUCUGUGUCUCCUGACCCCAAAAAUGUUGUAAGCAUGGAGUAUUACUGUAUUCAAAACACCAUGAUUAGAACCACCAGCUCAGCCUCUGACUUCCCCGUGAGGAUGAAGAGGAUAAGAAACUAAUCCAAAGCUAUGUGCUAGGACACAGGUGACCAUAGGGCUUUUUUCAACAUGCCUUUGACACUCUCAGAUCCCUCUUUCUUCCAGGAUGCAAUCACUCUGUAGUUUUGUCAUUCUUAGUAUGAGAGUUUGUAUCUGUCUUCUCCCUGCAGGACAAUAGGAUACACUCUAUUUGAGGGCUAACUAGAUUUGAGGCAUUUUAUGCCUAUGUAAGCAGAGGUGGGUGUUGCUGUGUGAAUAAUGUCACUUAAACCUCCUGAUAACUAUCAGUAUCAAAGAUCCUGCUUCCAUUGAGAAAGCUCAGUUUCAGAUAUUAAGCAAUGUCUACAGCUCACAUGACUGGAGUGACAGAGAUACGUUUGAGCCUUAGUUUGUCAGGUCUGGAUAGACCCUGUUCUUUCUGCUGAGCCAGGCCGGUCCCCUCCACCAGAACCCUGUGGAACCCAACACAAAAGCCAUAUCUUUGCAACGCAGAUUAUUGGUGAGCUGUAUCCCAAAGUUCUGAAUGCUCUGUCAGGACCUCCUCCUCACUAAUGAACCCUGUAGAUACCCUUUUUUCUUUUUCUUUUUUUC
rnacentral:lncRNA from 1 species